AGAACAGACAUUUUGACACCUUUUCUCUCCGGCCUGAGACCAGGAGACCCUUGAAAGGAAGGAGAGUUCCCAUGGCUCUGCAGGGCCUGUUUCAGAACCAUCUGGCGUUUGGGAAGAGGACGGACUCCAAACCUGCCAGGGACACAGAUGAAAUGUGACCAAACAUCAAGGACCAAGAGAUGCCUUUGGCACAGAGGAGCAGAGAAGCCCAGCCACGUGGGCACCAACACAGUGGGGUGUGUGUGUUUGUCCCCCAUGAACAACAGAAAGAGGGCCUCCCUGAGGCUCCUAGAUGAAAACUGAAGCCCACUGGAGAAGUGAAGAAAAUCUGCGAUAAAGGAUCACCACACCACCGUAGUUGGUAAUUGGAGGAACCAGCACCUCGCAUCAGAACCUGGUCUAACUUCAGGGAGAAAGACAGCUGGAACCUGCAGUAGAACCUUGCAGAGUUCAACCCGGCAGAAGGUCAGAGAUCUUCACUUGGGCCUUGCAGCCAGAAAUCAGCCUGGACCUCAGGGGACAGCUGCUGGCUUACUGAGACUAAUUAACUUAGAUCUGCCCACUCCUGCCCACGCUGUUUAUUGUGUCAACAGAGGCAUAUCCUGAAGGAGGCCCUCUAUUUUUUAUUUUCAAAGUU